UCAGAUCUUGAAAAAAGGUUGGGAAGCAUGGCCGGUCGAAGGCAACGACGUGACUGCAAUGCGUCUGUAACUAUCACUCUCUCCAGCAGCCUUUCUCAGCCUUGAUCGGUUUUCUCAAUUUUGAUCCAGAGCCCGAUUGCAACAUGAGAGCCAAGUGGCGCAAGAAGCGGAUGCGUAGGCUGAAGCGAAAGCGUAGGAAGAUGCGCGCCCGUUCAAAGUAGAAUCUCUGUACUGCUGUGAAGGCGCGGAAGCAAUCGACAUUCGAUUCGUUGAGGUAGUUUUGAAUUAACUGAGAUACUUUUACCACACGAUCGGCUAUCAAACAUAACCUUUAUGAAAUCCUGUGAUUGUUGUAAUCAUGUUGAUGUGUUGCAAUAGAUUUCUUCAUCUUAA